rnacentral:rRNA from 1 species
GACAGAGGGUGCAAACGUUUGUUCGGAAUUACUGGGCGUAAAGCGCGUGUAGGCGGCAGGGCAAGUCGGAUGUGAAAGCCCACGGCUCAACCGUGGAAGUGCACCCGAAACUGCCUCGCUAGAGUCUCGGAGAGGAAGGUGGAAUGCUUGGUGUAGAGGUGAAAUUCGUAGAUAUCAAGCGGAACACCGGUGGCGAAGGCGGCCUUCUGGACGAUGACUGACGCUGAGACGCGAAA